AAAUAUUUACACCAGAAAGGAUACAAAAUGGCAGUGUGGGACUCUGGGAGACACAGACAUUAAGAACCACAGUUGCAGCGGGGAGCUCUCGGCAGCCUCUUCCGGGUCUUCUGGAUUCUAGACUGGCUUGGGUCCUCUUACUUAAAAGAGUGGUACACUUAUCUGGGCAGCGUGCCAAGUCCUAUUUCAAAGAACAAGUCAAUUUUCACAGUGAGGUUUUUCCAUUUGGAACAUUCCAGUUGCAGUGAACUUUGAUUCCUGUACUUGGUAGAGCGGAGGGUGGGAACAGGGUUGAAUACUGAAGCCUCUGUUGUCUGGGAAGACCUUAGACCUGUGUCACACUUUGAAGGCUGGGGAGAGACCACACAGCCAGACCCUACUGGGUCACAGGCAAAUGAGUUCUAAGUUGAAGUCUCCACCCCCACUGGGUGCAGAAGAGGGGGCAGGGCGUUUUAAGUGGUCUAGGCUGUGUAUUAACUGGGGACACAGUGUCCCCUGCACUUGUGGCAUGCUGACCCUUAGCCACCUGGGAUGUUUCUUCCUAUGGCCACUUAACCUGGAUGUUAUUGGACAGAGGAAACGGAAGAAUCUGUCUCUAUUCUGGAACAUUCAAACACUGGCCAAAGGAACCACUGAUCACCGGAAAUCAAUGUCAGAAACGAAAAGGGAGAGCCAACAGAGAUCCAUGAAAUAGCGCCUGAUCAUGAGCCCUCGUCCCAGAUCCCACCAGCUCCUGCUCAGAAAGGAACCGAGGUUGCAUUCCCAAGGAAAAGCAAAGGACACGUCUGGAGGCAUUCUGCACUGCUUUUCCAGCAUGGGGGACAGCCGCCCUUUGCUCACGACCCUCCAUCAUGCAUCGGUGGGCAAGAGGAAGGCCACCAGUGUAGGCUGAGCCGAGCAGAGACCGCUGCUUUACAUCAGAAGGCUCCACUGCUUGCGUGGUUCGGAACAGUGACACUCGCGGGCACAAGGAAAAUCAGAAUGAAACCGGCAAAGUUCCCGAAUAUUACAUCUGUUGUUCCUUUUUCAUUUAAGCUCCGCCUGAAGCCACCACCCUCCUCUAUGGAGAUAGGAGUCACAGACCCUGAGCCUGUUUCCGUGACAACUAAAUUAAAAGCCACAGGAAAGCUCUAGACUCCGCUUUUAAUCAUGAAGCCAAAACAAAGAAAAGGCGGAGAGCCUCUUCACCAGUCCUGGACUUAGAACGGAGACCCAAUGUAAAGCCAAUCCAAGCGUCUAGUUUCCUCUCUGAUGGGGAACAAAUUGCAAUAGAUCUGUCAGAGUCUGUCUAAAGGCAAGGACCAGGAAAACAGUCAAGGUCAGACAACUUUCA